UGACAACUCUAGAGAUAGAGUCUUCCCCUUCGGGGGACAAAGUGACAGGUGGUGCAUGGUUGUCGUCAGCUCGUGUCGUGAGAUGUUGGGUUAAGUCCCGCAACGAGCGCAACCCUUAAGCUUAGUUGCCAGCAUUAAGUUGGGCACUCUAAGUUGACUGCCGGUGACAAACCGGAGGAAGGUGGGGAUGACGUCAAAUCAUCAUGCCCCUUAUGAUUUGGGCUACACACGUGCUACAAUGGACAAUACAAAGGGCAGCUAAACCGCGAGGUCAUGCAAAUCCCAUAAAGUUGUUCUCAGUUCGGAUUGUAGUCUGCAACUCGACUACAUGAAGCUGGAAUCGCUAGUAAUCGUAGAUCAGCAUGCUACGGUGAAUACGUUCCCGGGUCUUGUACACACCGCCCGUCACACCACGAGAGUCUGUAACACCCGAAGCCGGUGGAGUAACCAUUUAUGGAGCUAGCCGUCGAAGGUGGGACAAAUGAUUGGGGUGAAGUCGUAACAAGGUAGCCGUAUCGGAAGGU
rnacentral:rRNA from 1 species